GAAGAACCCUAACCAUUUUCGAAGAUCCCAAUUGCAGUAUCAAUCAAUUCAAAUCCUUACUCAAGCUUUUCGAGGAUCAAGCAGCUCUCAACUUGCAAGUGUCCUGAGUGUAAUUUGUCCGUGAAUUUGCAUUUUUCCAGGUUUCCGAUUGUGGAUUGUUGGAAUUUCUUGAUGCUUCGAGUACAAUACUGCUAAUACGAAGGGUAAUUUUAUCUUAAUUGCUUUAUUAUUAAUAGAUCAA